UAUUUAUUACUAUCGUAUUUUGAGUUAAUUUACAUAAUCAUAUUCAUUUUACUCUUUUUUUCUGCCUGUCAACUAAAAUGUCCAUCGAUUUUUGCCCAGUUUUUAAUUUAAUAAAUUAUAUUAUUUGUCUCUUUUCCAUGAGACUAGAAAAUGCAUGCUGAUUAACUCAUACUUUGUUUUAUUAAUGGAGGUUUUAGUUCCAUCUGGUCUACUUUCCAUCCUGUGAAAAUGUGUGACGACAAAACAUUGUCGUAUUUUCAUGAAUGCAAGUUGGAAGACAAGUGUUGAAAACAUUGGCAAAGACAGAUAAACUUUGUACAGAAUUGCCGAGAUCUAGCAUAAAACUCUUUUUCACCAUCUCAGUUGUCUACAAAAUUAACAAUUUUCCCUGUUUUUCCCUCUUCUGCCCUGAUGUGUAGGCUCAAAUGCGUAAAGCCCAACCAUCAGGGCAACAUACACCUCUUCUCAAAGAGAGGCCUGGUGCUGAGACUCAUUCCGGAGCCUUCUCCACAAGGUCAACACCUUUAUCAUCAUCAGAGGAGUCUGUGUCAUCCGCCCAAAGUGGAGAUGACCACAAACCAGCAUUCAGUGAAGGGAGGGGGUCCCGGUCGUCCAACAGCAGUGGAUCAGAAAAGGACCACAUUGAUUUGCAUGAAGCUAAGGCCCUCAAGGCAAAAUGUAAAUCAAAACAAAAAGGUAUGAAAUCGAAAGGAACAGAGAAGUUAAAUGAUGGCCAAAAAAGGAACUACCACCAAUCUUCGUGGAUGUGACACGUGCCUCAGAAAAUACGCACAAGAGAGCAAGGCCAAAAACCCAGAACUGUUGAGGUCAACAAAAUUAAGGAAGCAUGUUGCUACCUUAUGUCAGCUUCUCGACCUGAACAAUCAGGAACUCGAGCAAGUUGCUCGUUUUAUGGGACACGACAUUAGAGUCCAUUGUGAGUUUUAUCGGCAGACCGAUAAAACUUUCCAAGCGGCCAAGAUUGCCAAACUACUGUUUGCGAUGGAACGUGGGACAGAGUCGCUGAAGGGAAAGAGUCUGCAAACCCUGGACUCUGUUAUCACUGGAAGAGCACAUGCAGCCACCUCAACCAAAGGUCUGAAAAGUGGCAAAAAGAGAAGACCAGAUCCAGGGAGACGACAGGAAGCUCAAGAUGAAUGAGAAGUGCCACAUUCAGCUGUAGCAACGAGAUCUGAUGAUGAAGAUGAUGGAGGCGGUAACAGUACCAACUUGGACACUGAAAACACAGGCACCUACAAAAGGCCACCGAAGAUGCAGUCAAUUAAAGAAAGAAAUUAUGCUGAUGACGACAUGAGUGAUGUUUCUGGCAGUGAAUAUGGCGAUGGAGGGGUGUGCCAUAAGACAGUUAAGAAGACUGUCAAGAAAAAAAAGACAAUGUUGGGAAGACAUGGAUUGGUCUAUGACGCAUCUUUCACACAUGGCCAAGAACAACCAUCAACAUCAGGGAGCGCCACCAAACGAAAGAGGAUUGCAACACUUGCACAUGACGACGACGAUGAUGUUGAAGACAGCGGUGAGUCAGUGCAUCGUCAACACAACUCAAAGUUUCAUUACCAUUAUACUAACAUGCCAACUUUCUUAGAUGAAGAGGACAAAAAGACUGG